AGAAAAGUAAGCUGAGUUAAGCUAAUGGGUUCAUACCCCAUAUAUAUAAUACUCUCUUUUCUA
rnacentral:tRNA from 1 species